UAGGUGAACCAGCGGAAGGAUCAUUA
rnacentral:rRNA from 1 species